GGGCCUAUAGCUCAGUCGGUUAGAGCGCAUCGCUGAUAACGAUGAGGUCGCUGGUUCGAUUCCAGCUAGGCCCACCA
rnacentral:tRNA from 71 species